rnacentral:rRNA from 1 species
GCUCAGGACGAACGCUGGCGGCGUGCCUAAUACAUGCAAGUCGAGCGGACAGAAGGGAGCUUGCUCCCGGAUGUUAGCGGCGGACGGGUGAGUAACACGUGGGUAACCUGCCUGUAAGACUGGGAUAACUCCGGGAAACCGGAGCUAAUACCGGAUAGUUCCUUGAACCGCAUGGUUCAAGGAUGAAAGACGGUUUCGGCUGUCACUUACAGAUGGACCCGCGGCGCAUUAGCUAGUUGGUGGGGUAAUGGCUCACCAAGGCGACGAUGCGUAGCCGACCUGAGAGGGUGAUCGGCCACACUGGGACUGAGACACGGCCCAGACUCCUACGGGAGGCAGCAGUAGGGAAUCUUCCGCAAUGGACGAAAGUCUGACGGAGCAACGCCGCGUGAGUGAUGAAGGUUUUCGGAUCGUAAAGCUCUGUUGUUAGGGAAGAACAAGUGCGAGAGUAACUGCUCGCACCUUGACGGUACCUAACCAGAAAGCCACGGCUAACUACGUGCCAGCAGCCGCGGUAAUACGUAGGUGGCAAGCGUUGUCCGGAAUUAUUGGGCGUAAAGGGCUCGCAGGCGGUUUCUUAAGUCUGAUGUGAAAGCCCCCGGCUCAACCGGGGAGGGUCAUUGGAAACUGGGAAACUUGAGUGCAGAAGAGGAGAGUGGAAUUCCACGUGUAGCGGUGAAAUGCGUAGAGAUGUGGAGGAACACCAGUGGCGAAGGCGACUCUCUGGUCUGUAACUGACGCUGAGGAGCGAAAGCGUGGGGAGCGAACAGGAUUAGAUACCCUGGUAGUCCACGCCGUAAACGAUGAGUGCUAAGUGUUAGGGGGUUUCCGCCCCUUAGUGCUGCAGCUAACGCAUUAAGCACUCCGCCUGGGGAGUACGGUCGCAAGACUGAAACUCAAAGGAAUUGACGGGGGCCCGCACAAGCGGUGGAGCAUGUGGUUUAAUUCGAAGCAACGCGAAGAACCUUACCAGGUCUUGACAUCCUCUGACAACCCUAGAGAUAGGGCUUUCCCUUCGGGGACAGAGUGACAGGUGGUGCAUGGUUGUCGUCAGCUCGUGUCGUGAGAUGUUGGGUUAAGUCCCGCAACGAGCGCAACCCUUGAUCUUAGUUGCCAGCAUUCAGUUGGGCACUCUAAGGUGACUGCCGGUGACAAACCGGAGGAAGGUGGGGAUGACGUCAAAUCAUCAUGCCCCUUAUGACCUGGGCUACACACGUGCUACAAUGGACAGAACAAAGGGCUGCAAGACCGCAAGGUUUAGCCAAUCCCAUAAAUCUGUUCUCAGUUCGGAUCGCAGUCUGCAACUCGACUGCGUGAAGCUGGAAUCGCUAGUAAUCGCGGAUCAGCAUGCCGCGGUGAAUACGUUCCCGGGCCUUGUACACACCGCCCGUCACACCACGAGAGUUUGCAACACCCGAAGUCGGUGAGGUAACCUUUAUGGAGCCAGCCGCCGAAGGUGGGGCAGAUGAUUGGGGUGAAGUCGUAACAAGGUAGCCGUAUCGGAAGGUGCGGUGACAACC